AAACCAACUGGGAUUACCUUAGUAACGACGAGUGAAGCGGUAAAAGCUCAAAUUUGAAAUCUGGUACUUUCAGUGCCCGAGUUGUAAUUUGUAGAAUUUGUCUUUGAUUAGGUCCUUGUCUAUGUUCCUUGGAACAGGACGUCAUAGAGGGUGAGAAUCCCGUUUGGCGAGGAUACCUUUUCUCUGUAAGACUUUUUCGAAGAGUCGAGUUGUUUGGGAAUGCAGCUCAAAGUGGGUGGUAAAUUCCAUCUAAAGCUAAAUAUUGGCGAGAGACCGAUAGCGAACAAGUACAGUGAUGGAAAGAUGAAAAGAACUUUGAAAAGAGAGUGAAAAAGUACGUGAAAUUGUUGAAAGGGAAGGGCAUUUGAUCAGACAUGGUGUUUUUGCAUGCACUCGCCUCUCGUGGGCUUGGGCCUCUCAAAAAUUUCACUGGGCCAACAUCAAUUCUGGCAGCAGGUAUAAAUCAUUAAGAAUGUAGCUACUUCGGUAGUGUUAUAGCUUUUUGGAAUACUGUUAGCCGGGUA
rnacentral:rRNA from 1 species